UGUACCCGCACAAUCCAUCUUCAUUCAGGUUCAGGCCCAAGCCCAGUUAGUCAUUGUUUUCUCCGCUGCUUGUGUGUAUAUGUACGUAUACGUGUGAGAUGAGGAUGAAUCAAUGGCGAUUCCAAAGAUUUAAGAUCAAUUCUCACACUCUACAUUGUUAUGAUACUUGUUUCUAUCGCUUCCACUCUCAAAUUUUAAACAAUGAAGAAAGUGCUUCAGGAAGCCGAUAAGAAUGGUCGAAGAAAGCGCUUAAUUAAUAAAUAAGGUAGUGGCAUCAAUGGACUGGCCUGAGGUCACCACAUACAGAGAACUCUACACACAUGGUCAGUGAGAGGAAAUAUUAAGGAAUCUCUACUGCACUUGUGAAACUGAAAGGGGUGUUGUUGCUAGUGGCAUGACCAGGGACUAUUUGAUGGCAUUCUACCAGCAAACAGAACUCCGACCUAAACGGAUCAUAUUCUACAGGGAUGGAGUCAGUGAAGGUCAGUUUAAUCAGGUCUUGCUGAAAGAGAUGGAUGCCAUUAGGACGGUUGAUGUGUUUUAUUUUUUGUCUGCCAGGCGCUGCAAUCAAAUUAUUUACAAUGGCAGGAAAUCAACUGAUCGGAGUGGCAACAUAUCACCUGGUACUGUUGUAGAUAUGACCAUCUGCCAUCCCACUGAGUUUGACUUUUAUUUGUGUAGCCAUGCUGGUAUACAGAUUAUGACACUCAAAAUAUUUUAAUGGGCAAUAGGACGGACUUUGACUUUGUUGUCGGCAAUGCACAGACUAAUGAGGUUGGUUGGAUUAAAUCUCUUAGGUGUUUACCAUAUUGUUGCUUAAUAAUGCAUUUGAAGGAUGGGAGGUGAUCUUUACUUGAUGUAGCAAUGAAGAUGAAAAACAGAUCACCUAUUUGAAAUAUUGAUAUGCGGAUUAUGCUUGUCUGUGCUCUAUUAUGCUUAUUUUUGCUCUAAUGUUGGAUGUUAAUAUGCUUCCAUUAUCCUACAAAUGGAGUUAGGGUGUUGAAAAGGUGAAACCUCCAACCGGUAGCCCAAUAUCUAUGUUAAUGGCUACUCCAGAUGGCUCAUAUGCAUUACCAAGCAGUUGAUGUUUUUAAGCUAAAUGAGUGUCAGAGAUACCAUCAUAUCUCAGUAAAUCAGUGUUUGUCGAGCACAAAAUGUUCUUGCCGAUGAUUAGUUGCCCAAAAAUAUUGUAAGACAUACUGUAAAAAGAAUUCAAGAGGCCCAUAACAGCAGCGGAGAUAAUAAAGGCCGUGAUUCCCAGUUGCAAGGUCUGCAUUUUUUCUGUCUUUGGAAUGUUGCUGUCAUGGAAUGCCCGAGGAAAAUAUAACUUCGGAAUCAAGAAGUUUCGAAAGGUAGCUUCGCAAAUCAGCCCAACCAAAGCUGCUCAGAAGUACAACUUAGAUGCAAGUUUUUUUUUCAAAUAUGUGUGAGUCCUUGUAUUGAUAUCUAUCAGGCUAACGAGUGAUGCCACUAUGGAUAUGAUCUUCUAGUGAAAUUUGUAUAUACAUUCAUUUAUGCACGUAUGUAUAUUGUGUUAACUGUGCCAAA